rnacentral:tRNA from 1 species
GGUCACCUGGCCGAGCGGUUAGGCUCAGGUCUGCAAAACCUGCUACAGCGGUUCGAUUCCGCUGGUGACCU